AAUAGCAAUUCCGGUUGAUCCUGCCGGAGGCCACUGCUAUCGGGGUCCGACUAAGCCAUGCGAGUCACGGGGGUGUCCCCUGGGACACCACCGGCGGACGGCUCAGUAACACGUCGGUAACCUACCCUCGGGAGGGGGAUAACCCCGGGAAACUGGGGCUAAUCCCCCAUAGGCCUGAGGUACUGGAAGGUCCUCAGGCCGAAAGGGGCU
rnacentral:rRNA from 1 species